UGUGUAGGCGGUUGUUUAAGUUUGGUGUGAAAUCUCCCGGCUCAACUGGGAGGGUGCGCCGAAUACUGAAUGACUUCGAGUACGGGAGAGGAAAGUGGAAUUCCUGGUGUAGCGGUGAAAUGCGUAGAUAUCAGGAGGAACACCGGUGGUGUAGACGGCUUUCUGGACCGUAACUGACGCUGAGACACGAAAGCGUGGGUAGAAC
rnacentral:rRNA from 1 species